UACGUAGGGGGCAAGCGUUAUCCGGAUUUACUGGGUGUAAAGGGAGCGUAGACGGCGGUGCAAGCCAGAUGUGAAAGCCCGGGGCUCAACCCCGGGACUGCAUUUGGAACUGUGCUGCUAGAGUGUCGGAGAGGCAGGCGGAAUUCCUAGUGUAGCGGUGAAAUGCGUAGAUAUUAGGAGGAACACCAGUGGCGAAGGCGGCCUGCUGGACGACGACUGACGUUGAGGCUCGAAAGCGUGGGGAGCAAACAGG
rnacentral:rRNA from 1 species